rnacentral:lncRNA from 1 species
AAAUAAUGACUUUGGUGAAGGUGGUGAAUGUGAUCGUCAAACCUUAUUAGCCAAGUCUUUUCGCUAAGUUGCUUGAGGGGAACAGCAUUGAUGGUCUUGUCAUGAAUGUUAAUUUUGGUGGUGGUGUUGCCCUUGUUGCUGUUGUUACUUCCGUCGACGUCGGUUUUAAUGCUGCCAUUAUUGCCUCUACUGUUGAAAAGAAAAAGGAAGAUGAAAAAGAAGAAAGUGAUGAUGACAUGGGUUUUAGCUUGUUU